UACAGAGGGCUCAAGCGUUGUUCGGAUUCAUUGGGCGUAAAGGGCGCGUAGGCGGCGAGGUAAGUCGGGUGUGAAAUCUUGGAGCUUAACUCCGAAACUGCAUUCGAUACUGCCGUGCUUGAGGACUGGAGAGGAGACUGGAAUUUACGGUGUAGCGGUGAAAUGCGUAGAUAUCGUGAGGAAGACCAGUGGCGAAGGCGGGUCUCUGGACAGUUCCUGACGCUGAGGCACGAAAGCCAGGGGAGCAAACGGG
rnacentral:rRNA from 1 species